GAGGGUGGUGAGGGUGCAUGCUCACAGGGGCACUGCAAGGCCUAACAGGUGCACCCACCAAAGCUUGGAGGCGGAAGGAGGGGAGUAUGAUUUGUUAUUUGUCAUUUGCUGUGGACAGGAAGAUCAGGUGAAGACCAAAAAUGAAAGCAUAUCGACAACCACAUUUCUUCAACGUGAAAACUGUUAGCUCUGCCCUGAAGAUGAGUCCCACAGAGGUUUUGCAGGGUGGAGUUACCGAGAAAUUGACUUCGGG